GUAUUUUUCAUUUGAUAGGGGGUACAGAAGAGAAAGGGUAAGGUGUGGCACCAACAUAAAGCAUCAGACCUUCUGCAAUGUCAGUAAUAAUGUUCUGUGGUUGGGUACAAACUUUAAUGAUUAUGACCGUGUACAGGUUUGGGCCUCUGUUAGGAGGUGCAUCUUCGUUGUGGUCAGACCUUGCACAUCGUUGUGAGUGUACCUAAUAGUGGUUCAAGGUCUUGGUGUCUCUGUUGAGGCGACUGCUUCGCAGAGUUCUGUUCAUACCACAUCAAAAUUUUAAUCACAUUUAGUAACUAAAAAGUCUGAGUGAAUUCAGAUGUUUACCUUGAAUAGCUUAAAACUUGAUACCACUUUAAAGUGACACUAUAGUCACCAAAUCAACUUAUUGAAGCGGUUUUAGUGUAGCUCAUGCACCUGCAGUCUCACUGCUCAAUUCUCUGCCAUUUAGCAGUUAAAUCCCUUUUUUUCCUGUCAAUGCAGCAAUAGCCACACUUAGUGACUCUCAGCCUGCAUGAAAAAAAAUGGUUUCAUUUAAACAACCGUCAACUCACUUUAGAA